UGGGCAACCUGCCCUCAGCUCUGGGAUAACCCCGGGAAACCGGGGCUAAUACCGGAUACGACCUCCGCGGGCAUCUGCGGAGGUGGAAAGGUUUUUCCGGCUGAGGAUGGGCCCGCGGCCUAUCAGCUAGUUGGUGUGGGUAAUGGCCCACCAAGGCGACGACGGGUAGCCGGCCUGAGAGGGUGACCGGCCACACUGGGACUGAGACACGGCCCAGACUCCUACGGGA
rnacentral:rRNA from 1 species